UCCGCAUCAGAUUUCCUGGUGUAACGAAUUUUCAAGUGUUUCUUGCGAAAGCUUGUUCAACCCGACCCUUCCACGGUCGGGUUU
rnacentral:other from 1 species